UACGGAAGGCAGCAGUGGGGAAUAUUGCACAAUGGGCGAAAGCCUGAUGCAGCUAUGCCGCGUGUAUGAAGAAGGCCUUAGGGUUGUAAAGUACUUUCAUCGGGGAGGAAAAAACAAAACUAAUAAUUUUAUUUCUUGACGUUACCCGAAAAAGAAGCACCGGCUAACUCCGUGCCAGCAGCCGCGGUAAUACGGAGGGUGCUAGCGUUAAUCAGAAUUACUGGGCGUAAAGAGCACGUAGGUGGUUUUUUUAAGUCAGAUGUGAAAUCCCUGGGCUUAACCUGGAACUGCAUUUUGAAACUGAAAUACUAGAGUAUCGUAGAGGGAGGUAGAAUUCUAGGUGUAGCGGUGAAAUGCGUAGAUAUCUGGAGGAAUACCUGUGGCGAAAAGCGGCCUCCUAAACGAAUACUGACACUGAGGUGCGAAAAGCGUGGGGAGCGAAAACAGGGAUUAAGAUACC
rnacentral:rRNA from 1 species